CCCUUAGAUGUUCUGGGCUGCACACGUGCUACACUGGCAGGUUCAGCGAGCUUCAUGCCCUGAUCUGAAAGGAAUGGGAAAUCUUUUCAAAACCUGCCGUGCUUGGGAUAGAUGUUUGCAAUUAUUCAUCUUCAACGAGGAUUGCCUUGUAAGCGCACGUCAUCAGCGUGCAUUGAAUACGACCCUGUAUUCUGUACACACCGCCCGUCGCUCCUACCGAUCGAAGAGUUAGGUGAAUUGUUUUGAUCGAUAAGAUUUGACUAUGGUCAACUCUCGUUGGGAAAUUCUGUGAAUCUGACUGUUUAGAGGAAGGAAAAGUCGUAACA
rnacentral:rRNA from 1 species